GAUGAAGAACGCAGCGAAAUGCGAUAAGUAAUGUGAAUUGCAGAAUUCAGUGAAUCAUCGAAUCUUUGAACGCACAUUGCGCCCGCUAGUAUUCUGGCGGGCAUGCCUGUUCGAGCGUCAUUUCAACCAUCAAGCCCUGUUUAGGCUUGUGUUGGGGCCCUGCGGUUGCCGCAGCCCCCUAAAUGCAGUGGCGGGCUCGUUGUCACUCCGAGCGCAGUAGCGUAUCUCGCUCUGGGCGUGGCGGCGGGUGCUAGCCGUGAAACACCCACUAAGCUUGACCUCGGAUCAGGUAGGAAUACCCGCUGAACUUAAGCAUAUCAAUAAGCGGAGGA
rnacentral:misc_RNA from 1 species